rnacentral:rRNA from 1 species
GUGAGUAACACGUGAGCAACCUGCCCCAAGCUUUGGGAUAACCCUCGGAAACGGGGGCUAAUACCGAAUAGGACUGCUGGCCGCAUGGCUGGUGGUGGAAAGUUUUUCGGCUUGGGAUGGGCUCGCGGCCUAUCAGCUUGUUGGUGGGGUGAUGGCCUACCAAGGCGACGACGGGUAGCCGGCCUGAGAGGGCGACCGGCCACACUGGGACUGAGACACGGCCCAGACUCCUACGGGAGGCAGCAGUGGGGAAUAUUGCACAAUGGGCGGAAGCCUGAUGCAGCGACGCCGCGUGAGGGAUGACGGCCUUCGGGUUGUAAACCUCUUUCAGCAGGGACGAAGCGAGAGUGACGGUACCUGCAGAAGAAGCACCGGCCAACUACGUGCCAGCAGCCGCGGUAAGACGUAGGGUGCGAGCGUUGUCCGGAUUUAUUGGGCGUAAAGAGCUCGUAGGCGGCUUGUCGCGUCGACCGUGAAAACUUGGGGCUCAACCCCAAGCCUGCGGUCGAUACGGGCAGGCUAGAGUUCGGUAGGGGAGACUGGAAUUCCUGGUGUAGCGGUGAAAUGCGCAGAUAUCAGGAGGAACACCGGUGGCGAAGGCGGGUCUCUGGGCCGAUACUGACGCUGAGGAGCGAAAGCGUGGGGAGCGAACAGGAUUAGAUACCCUGGUAGUCCACGCUG